CCUACGGGAGGCAGCAGUGAGGAAUAUUGCACAAUGGGCGAAAGCCUGAUGCAGCAACGCCGCGUGCGCGAUGAAGGCCUUCGGGUUGUAAAGCGCUUUUCGGGGGGAUGAGGAAGGACAGUACCCCCGGAAUAAGUCUCGGCUAACUACGUGCCAGCAGCCGCGGUAAAACGUAGGAGACUAGCGUUAUCCGGAUUUACUGGGCGUAAAGCGCGUGCAGGCGGCCUGGUAAGUCGGGCGUGAAAGCUCCUGGCUCAACCGGGAGAAGCCGUCCGAAACUACCAGGCUUGAGGGCAGAAGAGGGAGGUGGAAUUCCGGGUGUAGUGGUAAAAUGCGUAGAUAUCCGGAGGAACACCAGUGGCGAAGGCGGCCUCCUGGCCUGUUCCUGACACUAAGACGCGAAAGCUAGGGGAGCGAACGGGAUUAGAUCCCCCUGUAGU
rnacentral:rRNA from 1 species